rnacentral:rRNA from 1 species
AUUGAACGCUGGCGGCAGGCCUAACACAUGCAAGUCGAACGCGUGGCAGACGGGUGAGUAAUGUCUGGGAAACUGCCUGAUGGAGGGGGAUAACUACUGGAAACGGUAGCUAAUACCGCAUACUAUGAGAUGUGCCCAGAUGGGAUUAGCUAGUUGGUGGGGUAACGGCUCACCAAGGCGACGAUCCCUAGCUGGUCUGAGAGGAUGACCAGCCACACUGGAACUGAGACACGGUCCAGACUCCUACGGGAAGCAGCAGUGGGGAAUAUGGGACAAUGGGCGAAAGCCUGAUGCAGCCAUGCCGCGUGUGUGAAGAAGGUCUUCGGGUUGUAAAGCACUUUAAGUUGGGAGGCGUUACCAGCAGAAUAAGCACCGGCUAACUUCGUGCCAGCAGCCGCGGUAAUAC